rnacentral:lncRNA from 1 species
CCGUGUGGCACAUCUCCAUUGUUCUAACUCACUCAUCCAUAACAGCUGGAGACCCAAGCAAGAUGGUCAGAAUGGGGAGAUUCACUUUGAUGUGGUUCCUCCUGUCUGCAGUCUGUAAGGGAGGCACCCCCUGAGACUUGCCGCUGCCAGAUAGUCUCAUUGCUGACACUGAGAAAACUGCAGAGAUGCCUGAGACAACUUCCAAAUAUUGUGGCAUAUAUCUGGUCUGGUCUUCAGCUUCUAUUUUUGGGUAUCUCCUGCCUGCCCUAAGUCUCUCUACUAUGAGAUCAUCAUCUUCACAACCUGUUACACCCAUAGUCUUCAUGUAGUCAGUUCUGCGGCAGUCAGAAGGUAAGGAAGCCCUCCCCCAUCCACCGCCAUAUAACCCUAGUUCACCCCUCCCUCCUGUCCUUUGUGACCCUCCUGCCACCAACUCCCUCAUAUUUCUCUCUACUUCUCCUGCCACCUCUCCCCCUAUAGGAGAGCAUCUCCCAUCCUGGCAGGAGGGCACCACAUCAGGAAGAGGCAAUCCAGAGACUCUUGCCUUUGAGAGAUGCCCCUCCUCCCAAUAAGGCAGGCCCAGGAACUGGCCCAUUCUCUUAUAUGUUCCCUUUUCCACUUCUGAUCUCUACAACUCAAAAACCAAGAAUCCACUGUUCUCUGAGAAUCCCCAGGUUCUACUUUCUCUAAUAGACUCCAUUUUUAGGGCUCAUCCACAAAACUGGGAUAACUGUCAGCAGUUGUUAUUGACCCUGUUAACUGCUGAGGAAUGGGACAGGGUGUGGUUUGAGGCUAGAAAGGUUUUAUUGGGGAGGUGUUCAGAGGAAGAGGCCCACAAAUUGCUGAAAUAAUGUUUCCGCUCAGAGCAGCCUCAAUGGGAUCCAAAUGCUUCAGGAGGAACACAGACUUUGACUACUUUUUACCAGAACUUGUUGAAUGGUAUUCAAACAGCAGUUCAGAAACCCAUAAAUCUGUCAAAAACCACUGAAGUAACACAGGGACCAGAGUAGUCCCUCACUGCAUUCCUGGAGAUUCUCCAAGAGGCCUUCCAGGUAUACAACCUGCUCAAACUCUCUGCUCCAGAGAAAAAUAGAGCUACAUGUUAGGCUUAUGUUUCUCAGUCUGAACGUGAUAAGAGGAGACAAUUACAAAUAUUGGAGGGGUUCCAAGGAAUGAACACACCUCAGAUAUGAGAAGUAGCUCACAAGGUGUUUAACAAUAGGGAUUCAGAAAAAAAAAAAAAUUGGCCAUAGUUGUGGCAGAAAGAUCAGCCAGGAAGCAAGCAAAGAUCUUGGCAGCAGCCAUCAGAGGGGACCCUGAGGGACACAACCCCAGGAAGCUCAAAGGUCUGAUCCCCAGAAAGCCAAGGGCAGAAAUCAAUGUGUCCGUUGCAAGGAAGAAAGGCACUAGAAAAAAGAAUGCCCUCUACUGAUAUCCCUCCCCACAUUUGAGGGAAAGGAAGAUUCAGAUUGAGGGGGCUAGGGCUUCUUCUCUCAUGAUCCCUGGGAGCCAUGGUAAAUGUUGAAGUAGGGGGCCAACUGGUCCAUUUCCUAGUGGCCACUGGCACUGAGAGUUCAAUGUUAAAAAAUGUUCUGGCAGGGCUUUCAUCAAAAACCAUCCCCACAUAGGGGGCCACAGGAGCAGUUCAAAACUUCCAUACCUGAUUGAGGAUACCCCUUGCUGGGAUUAGACCUCCACAAUACCCCAUCUCUCAGAAGGCCAGACAAGGGAUAGCCCCUCACUGUAAGAGGUUGGUGGACUUUGUGAUGUUAAGGUCCUGUCUGUCUCCAUGGAACACCCCAUUCCUGCCAGUACAAAAACUGGGGACAUCAGAUUACAAGCAGGUUCAGGACUCAAGAGAAGUUAAUCAGUGAGUGGUAACUUUUCAUCCUAUUGUCCAUAACCCCUAUACCCUCCUGAGUUUGCUGUCUCCUGAGCACCAAGUGUAUACUGUGCUAGAUUUAAAAGGUGCUGUUUUUCAGUGUUCUCCUUGACCCAGCUACCCAGCCUAUUGUCACAUUGCAGUGAACUGACCCUGUUUCCAGGGACUCAUGCCAGCUCACCUUGACCCACCUUCCUCAAGGAUUCAAAAAUGCACCCACCCUGUUCAUUGAGGCCCCCUCAGAAGGACUUGGUGAGUUUUAAUCCCUAACUUCACCCUGCUUCCAUAUGUGGAUGAUUUGUUAUUAGCUGCUACUAGAUAUUCAGAAUGUCUGCAGGAGACACAAGAGCUUCUUCAGCUCCUGGAGGAGUUGAGCUACAGCAUCAUGGCCAAGAAGGCACAACUCUGUGCCCCUAAAGUAUUGUACCUGGGGUAUGAAUACUCAGAAGGAAGAAGAGUUUUGUCCCAGGCCAUGAAAAGAUCAUCCUCCAGAUAACCACAUCAACUACCAAGAAUCAGUUUUGAGCUACUCAGCCCCUGCCCACCUCUACACCAUGCCACCUGUUCCAUCCCAGUAAUACUGUCUUCAUCAAGGCUUUUCAGAGUGAAGGACUAACUCCAGCCUGGAAGGGAUAAUACACAGUCAUCCUCACAAUGCCCUUGGGUCUCAAGGUUGAUGGAAUUUUGACCUGGGUUCACCAUUCGUGCAUCAUAGUGUGAAACAGUGGACUGCUGAACUGGGACUUGAUCCUUAAAAGCUAAGGCUAGUCCAAUCAUGAUUGUGAUGCUUGUCGUUAUUGUCUUUGGUCUGACUAGGAUGAACUCUGGGGAGAUGCAAUGAGGAGAAUUGCACUCCUUUCUCCUCACCUCUGUUCACUCAGGAAAACUUCUAGGUAAUGUCACUUUUGGUGCCAUCUGACCUGGCAUCCUCUCAGGUUCCCUGAGGUCGAUCUCUGUAAAUUAGUUAGGAGAGAUUGGGAAAGCUACUACUAACUGUUCAUCACCCUGGGCAGCCGUGAGUUUUAUGCGCAUUCAUGUUUCAAUCCAUUUGGACAGCAGGGUUGUGGGUCCUCAACUGACUUCUCCUGCUCUCACUGGGGCUGUGUAAAGAUUACCUCCUAUAGAGGGUUACCAGAUGUCACUAAUGAUAUCAGAGUUUGGAUACAUGGGUGCCUAGUUCCAAUUCUGAUACAAAGACCCUUGAACUCUAAAUGGGCCACAGGAUGGAAUUGGGGAUUCUGCUUCUUGCUCCUUCCAGGACUAAUUCCUCACACAGGUAAAAUCAUGGCAUUUCAGACCAUGUUACUAACCCGGGCAACAAAACAGUGCAAAACCUGUAAAACUGAUGUAUGAGAUCCUACCACAAUUGCUUGCAUAAUCCCUUGCCCAAUUAAGUCUCUAAUUGAGUCAAUACUUUGAUAUCAUGCUUAGAGGAAUUGGGACUAUGAUAGCCAACUCAACUCCAUCUUGAGCCUCAAUAUCAUCUUAUACCUGUGCUUGGACAAAGCACCCCAAACCCCACAUCCUGUUUGGCAGUAAACUUGCUGCAGCUGCUGCAUGUUUUUUAGUUAUCUGAGUGUGUGAAACUUCCUUGUGUCCCCCACUCACCUGACAUGGUUGUGCCUCUGGAGAAAGAAAUGUGGGUUUUUUUAUAGAAUGGAGUACUACUCAGCUAUAAAGAAGGAAAAACUAGUGGCAUUUAUAGCUAAGUGACUGCACAUUGAGGCCAUACUCUUAAGUGAAAUAAAUAGGACACACAUGUGCAAAUACCAAAUAGUUUCUCUGGUGUGAAAACCUAAAAAGUGUAAAUGAGGGUCAAAAUAUAUAAUUGAUAUUGUGUAAUAGGAAGAAAAGGUCUAAAGUGGUAGGGGAAAAGCAAGAAGGGAAAAGAAAAAAUAUGAGUAAAGGAAGAAAUGGAAACAAAGUCUGUAAAUAGGGAUGGGUUGAGGGUUUGAAGGGAGUGCAGGGGAAUAGGGAAAAAAUAAGAACCAAGGAGCAUCACGUACAGGUACAAGUUCCCAAUGAUGACUAUAAGAAUAUUGUAUACCUAAAAUGUACAAAUAAACUUAAGGAAAAAAAUAACUAAUAUGAUCAACUUGUUCAAAUAUACACACUACUGAUAGUAUUUGUCUAAAGGCAUCCAGAGUUUAGUUGAGAGGGUAAACAACAUCCAUGAACUUGUCAGAGUUUGCACUAGGUAGAUGGAAGAUAUGAAAAGUAUUCAGUAUCACACUGGAAAUACACAUGCAAACACAUGCAUGCAUGUGCUAUCACACAAAAUCAGAUACAUGAAAUCCUACAACAGGGUCAUCAGUGGAGUCACUGCAGAUUAAGAAAUAAUCAUGUAGUAGAAAAAGAAACAACAGAACUUAUCUAAGAAUUAUUGUUUAGGAAAUGGAAUGAAUAAAAUGCACUACCAAAUAGUCUAACAUAAAGCAGUAAUGAAAUAGGAACAAUGUGAGGAGGUACAUGUCAACACUUUUUUGAAAAUAAGAAAGUUAUUAAGCCAUUGAUUAAGCAGUUCAAAGGAUCAUGGGAAGGAUAACUGUCAAGGACACUUGAGUCUUUCCAGAAAAAGAAAGGACAAAUGUAAAAAUGUAAAUUGAUAUGUGAGAAAUAAUGGAAAUUUUAAUUUCGAUUACUUUAAAACUAAGGGACUGAAGGAAAGUAAUACUACUGCAUUAUGAAUUUAAGCCACAUAUAAAAAUAGCAUUUAUGAGAAAAAUAACAAAAAAGAGGUGAUAAUCGAUCAUUAUUUUUCAAGCCAUCUGUUCUUGCUGCUUGUUCAAUAAGGGCUGGAUAUGUAGCUUAAUGGUACAGUGUUUGCCUAUUGUUGUUCAUGGCCUGGGUUCAAUCACCAGCACCAAAAAAGAAAAGAUAUAUAUAUACUUGGUAGCCAUUAUUAUAAUUUGGGGUUCAAAGCAAAGGUCAUUACUGCAUGGAGAAUAACAAAUAGAAUAUCAAGAAUAAACUAUAGAUAUCAUCAAGGGCUCACAAAAGUUAAAAUGUAAAGUGAAAGAUAUGAAAAUAUUCUGCUAAUGAAUUUGAUGAUGAAAAAAUAAAGUUCCUUAAAUGUACAUUAGGUGAAAUAAGUAAUGUGAGUAAUUAUCUACUUAAUAAAUUAAAGUGUUUUAUGAAAAGCAUUCAUAUGAAUAAAAUCUGCAUAAUGUUUUUUCCUUCGUAAAACAAAUCCUCACCUCUCCUUUACACUGAAUAUUGGAUGAACUCCCUGUAACAAUGUGGAAGAAGAGAACAGAACCAAAAGAUAGGAGAAUGUGAGCACUGAGUUACCUGCCAAAAACAGCCAACCCAAAAGUAAUCUGAGCCACAGGAUAAGUGUGAUACACCAAUAAAUUCAGGUGAUAGCCAUGAGUAUUGUUUUGUGUUGAGUGAGUCUAUUCCUGAAAGAUUCAUCACACUAGAAAAACUGUUUCCUAAUAUAAUUACCCUGCCUGUCAACAUCCAUCAUCUGUUAAGUUAUUCUUUCUUUUAAUAAGUUCAUUUUUAAGUAUCUGUUUAUACUUGAGACUUGGAAGCUUUAGCCCCCAAUGCCAAGCACUAUGUCUUCUAUUAGAAAAUGUAAAAAACAUUGAAAAAUGCACAUGUUUCAGUGACUGCUGUUUUAGAAACAUAUAAUAUCAGUAUUACUGUCUAGCCAUUCAUAAUAAUUAAUUAAUAAUUAGUAAUUUCUUUGUUGUUAUGGUCUUCUAAAUUAUCAUAAAUAUAUUAAAUAGCAAACUGCCCUAGCACCA